UGGGGAAUAUUGCACAAUGGGCGCAAGCCUGAUGCAGCAACGCCGCGUGAACGAUGAAGGUCUUCGGAUCGUAAAGUUCUGUUGCAGGGGAAGAUAAUGACGGUACCCUGUGAGGAAGCCCCGGCUAACUACGUGCCAGCAGCCGCGGUAAUACGUAGGGGGCUAGCGUUGUCCGGAAUCACUGGGCGUAAAGGGUUCGCAGGCGGAAAUGCAAGUCAGGUGUAAAAGGCAGUAGCUUAACUACUGUAAGCAUUUGAAACUGCAUAUCUUGAGAAGAGUAGAGGUAAGUGGAAUUUUUAGUGUAGCGGUGAAAUGCGUAGAUAUUAAAAAGAAUACCGGUGGCGAAGGCGACUUACUGGGCUCAUUCUGACGCUGAGGAACGAAAGCGUAGGUAGCAAACAGG
rnacentral:rRNA from 1 species